rnacentral:tRNA from 1 species
GCCCUUGUAGCUCAGCUGGUAGAGCAGCUGAUUUGUAAUCAGCGGGUCGGCGGUUCGAGUCCGUCCGGGGGCACCA